rnacentral:rRNA from 1 species
UACGGGGGGGGCAAGCGUUGUUCGGAAUUACUGGGCGUAAAGGGCUCGUAGGCGGCCAACUAAGUCCGACGUGAAAUCCCCAGGCUUAACCUGGGAACUGCGUCGGAUACUGGAUGGCUUGAAUUCGGGAGAGGGAUGCAGAAUUCCAGGUGUAGCGGUGAAAUGCGUAGAUAUCUGGAGGAAUACCGGUGGCGAAGGCGGCAUCCCGGACCGACAUUGACGCUGAUGAGCGAAAGCUAGGGGAGCAAACGGG